AGCCCCUCAUCUGCAGUGCCCUGGGCAGCCAUCAUGUAACAUCAAAUGAAGUGUCAAGUAACAUUAAAGUUUGAAAUUCAGGCUUACUGUUUAUGAAUAUCAAACAUUUAAGACUUUUGACCAGUUAUUUUUUCUGGCUUAUGCUUAUUUUUGUUUUGAUAUACUAUAGUUUUCAUAAUAAUAUACAACAAGAAUUAUGACUAAUGAAUUUAAAAAUGUGAAAAUCAGAGCUCUAGAGAGAAUCUUCCCUUCACUCCCCAGUUGGCCACAGUGAUGGAGCCGGGCCAGGCUCAAGCCAAGAGCCAGGCGCUUCAUCUGGGUUUACCAUGUGGGUGACAGGCUCAAACCUGUGAGCCAUCCAUCUUUUGCUUUCCUCAGGACUAUCCCUGAGGAGCUGGGUUAGGAGUGGAACAGCCAGGAUGUGAACUGGCACCUGUAAUGAAAGCUGCCAUUGCAAGUGGCAGCUUUACUUGCUCUGCUACAGCACUGGCCCUCUGAUAGUUGUUUUGUAAAUUGUAUUUUAAAUGUAGGAGGAAAUCUGGUGGAGAAAUUCCAGCUCAGAGACUGUAAAAUCUGCAAAGUCAUUUGGAUUAGUCAUGCUAAGGCCAACUCAGAUAGGACUUGAAAUCCAACAAAUCCAUAGCAGCUGAAAACUUGAGCAGAUUUGUCACUUGGGCAAGAACAAAGAAGCCCAGCUGAAGUCAAGAGCAGAUCUAGACCUCAGCAUCUGUUUCUACGGAGUUCACAGUAAGCGCUCUUUCUCUAAAGCUUGCAAUGUUUGCAGACAGUUACAGUGCUGCCAUGUGACGGAGAUGUCACCGGCUGGCACUCGUGCUGCCUAGGGAGCAAUCUCAGAGGUGUCUUAGAGGAAAAACAUAGUAGAUUUUAAAAAGGAUAUGCAUAAUGAGAAGGCUUGGUUUCUCUUGUAGGUGUAAGAUUUAACUAUGUAUUUUUAAGUUUUACUAAGGUAAUAUACAUUUUUAGAUUAAAUAUUUUUGCCUUCAAACUUUUAUUGAAAUAUUAGCAUUUGAACUAUGCCCCAGUCAUGAAAACUCAUGCUAAUGGUUUUUAUAAAGUGAGUAAAAAGGACAUUCCUGGCGUGUGCAAGGCGAGGACUUUAAUCACUAUGCUAUUGCGCUGGGCCCGAUAUUGAUAUUUUUGUAGAGUAACAGAGUUACAUGUAUUUUAGGAACCAUAAGACCUAUGUCUUAAAGGUACUUAGAUUUUCCUUGUAUUAAUAUGACCAAUUUAGUUCAUAGAUUUUUCUCCUUCCAGAAAUUUGAUGCUUAUGUAUGUGUGAUUCAAAUCUCUUCAAAUACAGAUUAGCACAAUGGUUGGGAGAAAGUGAAGACCUUGCUGCUUUCUGUACUAAUUCGGAAAACAAGAGAAGAAUGCUGAUCAUUUUGAUGCUGUUUACUGGGAAGCCCUAAAACAGCAUCUUUGUUGCCUCUCUCUCUACAUUACUACCUUAAGAGAGCUAUAGAUAUUUUCCAGUGUUUAUUUCAUUUUUCAUAUUGAAUUUUUAUAAAUCAGUGCAACACAUCUGCAAGUCCUGAUCAUGUAUAAGGGACGUAGACAAUUGUAAAACUGGGCCCUAUUUGAGAUUUCAAGACAUGAAUGCGCAACAGUUUACCAGGCUUUGUGGUCUGUUCUGAAGCCAAAUUUGAAGAGUAUGUAGCAUUUGCAUAGGCUGUGAGGCGUAGGACAAACCUCCAGUUGGUAUAGAAGGCCUGAACCCAGUAAUAUGUAUGUCUUCUGUGGACAUUAGGUGAAUUCUUACAUUAGAAAGUUUCUGUGCCUAUUAAGGAAAAUGUGUUUGGAAAAUUUAAUGGUAGUAGACCUUGCAUGUAAAAUCAGGUACUUUUGGUACUUUUGACUGUUGGU